rnacentral:misc_RNA from 1 species
GGCACGCUCAUCAGCAGCAUUACAUUCCAAUUGUACAUUCGCAUAUUCCAUUUUCACGGCUUCAAGCUCACUCAGAUGGGCUUUAAUCUCCUCUUGCAACCUCUCCAUCUCAGCUUUUAGUUGGCCAACAAAACUUCCCUGUUGAUUAUAACUAUCUGUCAAAGUUGAAUUUUCAGCCGCCAGAGACUCUGCUAGAGUUCGCGAAGCCUCAAGAGCACGUUGUAG